GUUGUGAGAGUAUAGAGGAUUGGAUUCAAAGCACUGUUAACUGGAAGGAAAAAAAUCACUAUCCAGGAAGUCAUUGUGUCUGGAAAAGGAAGCAAAGUGUGAAAAAAAAAAGUUGAAGUUUUAAAUAGACAUAAAAUACAAAUAACACUUUGCAGUCAAUGCUAUUUAUGAGAGGGAGACAUAGUACAUUUUAAGUUUUCUCUCACCUGAAGGAAAAUCUUUGUUGGAAGAGCACAGAAGCUAUGAAUUCAAGGUCUUAACGAUUUAACUUUUCUGAGUUUCAGUAAAUAAUGUGAAGGUCAUUGUGAUAUUAACAGGAAAUAUGUGAAAACAUUUUGUAAACUAUAAAUUGCUAUAUAAUGCAUUUUUUCCUAUUUUAUCACCUUCCUUUAUAGGAAAAUAAAAAAAUAAAGAAAUAAUCUUUAGUCAAUCGAGUGAGGUUCACAAAACUUCUGGUCCAGGAGCCAGAUCUGACCUUGGUCUUAACUCCAUCCAGUUCUCAAAGCUUAUUGCCCUGCCCUGGUGUUCUGGUUAUCCUGUUAUCCUAUUAAAAGCUUUGAAGAGCAAAGAGGAAUGCAUUCCCUAAACUUGAUGAAAUUCUCUUGUGUGCAGCCCUACAAAUGCUAAUAGAAUAUUCAGGGAAAGAGGUCACAAGAAGUUCUUUGUGAGGUGAAAUUUGGAAUGAUAGUGUCCUUCCUGAGAGCAUCAUUUCAUUUGCUUGGUUAGCACAAAAUGCAUCUUUCCCUUUACACGUGGCCUAAUCCUGUGGCCGGACACUUAGCUAGACUCUGGCCUUGUCAAAAGAAGGACGUAAGAAGGCACGAUGUAUUAUACUUGGGAAUGAUAGAAGAGACUGACCUGGUAUUUCCACCCGGAAGAGGGAAAGGAUUUUAACUACAAAUACAGGAAUCCAGCAGAUGGCAUCAGAGAACACUAUAAAAAAGAAACGAUUUGCAACAGCCA